CUCAAGCUCCAUGCCCAUAUGAAUUAUUGUCUCAAAAUCUGACUUCAAGAUUUAUCAAAUUACUGGAAAGUUUCAAGUCAGAAGGAAUCUCUGGGAAUCACAAAAUCCAAUCUCCAAAGUCAAGACAUGAGUGCCCACAUGCUUCUGCAGAGAUUUCUUUGUGUCAGAUAUCAAAGCUGUGCUUCAAGACAGAGAAAUGUGCAUAAAAAUUUACCUUGUCACACGAGGGAAAAAAGUACAGAGAAGCUUCAAAGAAAUUGGUUCUGAAUAUUUGCACUUCUGUCCAUCACUACUUUAUCAAGAUC